GACGAACGCUGGCGGCGUGCCUAAUACAUGCAAGUAGAACGCUGAAGGAGGAGCUUGCUUCUCUGGAUGAGUUGCGAACGGGUGAGUAACGCGUAGGUAACCUGCCUGGUAGCGGGGGAUAACUAUUGGAAACGAUAGCUAAUACCGCAUAAUAGUAGAUGCUGCAUGACAUUUGCUUAAAAGGUGCAAUUGCAUCACUACCAGAUGGACCUGCGUUGUAUUAGCUAGUUGGUGGGGUAACGGCUCACCAAGGCGACGAUACAUAGCCGACCUGAGAGGGUGAUCGGCCACACUGGGACUGAGACACGGCCCAGACUCCUACGGGAGGCAGCAGUAGGGAAUCUUCGGCAAUGGACGGAAGUCUGACCGAGCAACGCCGCGUGAGUGAAGAAGGUUUUCGGAUCGUAAAGCUCUGUUGUAAGAGAAGAACGAGUGUGAGAGUGGAAAGUUCACACUGUGACGGUAUCUUACCAGAAAGGGACGGCUAACUACGUG
rnacentral:rRNA from 1 species